rnacentral:ncRNA from 1 species
CGUUCUCAGGGCGGGGUGCAAUUCCCCACCGGCGGUGACAGCCCGCGAGCGCCUUCCUGUCGGAAGGGUCAGCAGAUCCGGUGAAAUUCCGGGGCCGACGGUAUAGUCCGGAUGGAAGAGAAC